GGCUGGGGAGCCCAGUCGGUUAAGCACUCGCUUAGCAUGCGAAAGGUCCCAGGUUCGGGUCCGGGCAUCGCCA
rnacentral:tRNA from 1 species